UACGUAGGGGGCAAGCGUUGUCCGGAUUUAUUGGGCGUAAAGAGCUCGUAGGUGGUUCGGUAAGUCGGAUGUGAAAUCUCCAGGCUCAACCUGGAGGGGUCAUUCGAUACUGCCGUGACUAGAGUUCGGUAGGGGAGUGCGGAAUUCCUGGUGUAGCGGUGAAAUGCGCAGAUAUCAGGAGGAACACCGGUGGCGAAGGCGGCACUCUGGGCCGGUACUGACGCUGAGGAGCGAAAGCGUGGGGAGCGAACAGG
rnacentral:rRNA from 1 species